CGGCGGACGGGUGAGUAACGCGUGGGUAACCUGCCUCAUACAGGGGAGUAACCCGGCGAAAGUCGGACUAAUACCGCAUGAAGCAGGGGCCCCGCAUGGGGAUAUUUGCUAAAGAUUCAUCGCUGAUAGAUAGGCAUGCGUUCCAUUAGGCAGUUGGCGGGGUAACGGCCCACCAAACCGACGAUGGAUAGGGGUUCUGAGAGGAAGGUCCCCCACAUUGGUACUGAGACACGGACCAA
rnacentral:rRNA from 1 species